AAGUCGUAACAAGGUUUCCGUAGGUGAACCUGCGGAAGGAUCAUUAACGAAUUAAACGAACGUCUUCGGUUGAGCUGGCCUUCGGGCAUGUGCCCGCCGAAGUACGCUUUUCCAAAUUCCAACACCUGUGCACCUUUGUAGUUCUCUUCUGUUCUUCUUGGUUCGGGGCCGAUAAACCGCAAGGGGAAGGCUUCGACGAAGGGAGAAGAGGAGGAACUAUGUAUUUCAUACCCCAACCAAUACAGACCAAAGAAUGUAACAAAGUCGGCUUGUGGGCUGAGGCGUUAAACAACCUCGUCCCUUGACGCAAAACAAAACUAUAUACAA
rnacentral:misc_RNA from 1 species